rnacentral:rRNA from 1 species
UACGUAGGGGGCAAGCGUUAUCCGGAUUUACUGGGCGUACAGGGCGCGUAGGCGGCGUGACAAGUCACUUGUGAAAUCUCUGAGCUUAACUCAGAACGGCCAAGUGAAACUGUUGUGCUAGAGUGCAGAAGGGGCAAUCGGAAUUCUUGGUGUAGCGGUGAAAUGCGUAGAUAUCAAGAGGAACACCUGAGGUGAAGACGGGUUGCUGGGCUGACACUGACGCUGAUGCGCGAAAGCCAGGGGAGCAAACGGG